rnacentral:rRNA from 1 species
ACGCUGGCGGCGCGCCUAACACAUGCAAGUCGAGCGAGAACCAGGGCUUCGGCCCUGGGGACAGCGGCGAACGGGUGAGUAACACGUGGAUAACCUGCCCUCGGCACCGGAAUAGCCCGGGGAAACCCGGAUUAAUGCCGGAUAGCCCCACAUCCCUGCGGGGAACGUGGGAAAAGGUAGCUUCGGCCUCUGGCCGAGGAUGGGUCCGCGGUGGAUUAGCUUGUUGGCGGGGUAACGGCCCACCAAGGCGACGAUCCAUAGCUGGUCUGAGAGGACGAUCAGCCACACUGGGACUGAGACACGGCCCAGACUCCUACGGGAGGCAGCAGUGGGGAAUCUUGCGCAAUGGGCGAAAGCCUGACGCAGCGACGCCGCGUGCGGGAAGAAGGCCUUCGGGUUGUAAACCGCUUUCAGGAGGGACGAAGCCACUCGGGUGAAUAGCCCAGAGGGUGACGGUACCUCCUGAAGAAGCCCCGGCUAACUACGUGCCAGCAGCCGCGGUAAUACGUAGGGGGCAAGCGUUGUCCGGAUUCAUUGGGCGUAAAGAGCGUGUAGGCGGCCAGGUAGGUCGGUUGUGAAAACUGGAGGCUCAACCUU